GCGCGCAUAGUCUAGUGGUAAGACAUCACCUUGCCAAGGUGGGGACACGGGUUCGAGUCCCGUUGUGCGCA
rnacentral:tRNA from 10 species